CCGAGCGAACCUUGCAUAAUGCGUCAAGGGAAACUAUUGGUCGAGCGAGACAUUUGUUCAGGGUAAUAGGGAACAGAGGUUGAACCUGUGGUUUGACGCAACAAAGAACUUCCGUACUUACUCUAUUCUAUGACUACUGCAGUGACACCGGUCGGCUUGAAUCGAGCCCAAAUCAGUUUUCUGGAUUUGAAAUGAUAGCCAUUCAAGUUUAUAAUAAAAAGCAAUCAUGCUGUAGUGAACUACUUUUAAAAAAAAAAAACAGA